AGAGUAUUUUGAAUAAAGAAAUUUUAAUUUUAGUAAUAUUUAUGAACAAAUAAAGUUAUAAUUAUAGAGUAUUAGUAUUGAAAUAGAAAUUUUAUAUAUUGAAAAAAAGAAGAAUUAAUUUUUUGUACCUUGUGUAUCAGGGUUUAUUAAUUAAAAUUUUUUUAUUAAAAUUUCUCGAAUUUAAAAGAGCUAUAAUUUUAUAUUUUUUAUUGUUGAAUAAAUAUUAUUAAUAAAAUUAUAGAAGUGAAAUGCUAUUCGAUUUUAAAUAUAUCUAGUUUUUUAAGAAAAAAAUUUAAUUUUAUUUUUAUGUAUUAAUAUAUUUAAUUGAUAAUUUAUUAAUAGUAAAAUUUUAUAUCUUUAGGGAUGAGCUUGGGGGUAGAUAAAUAUAAUUUAUAUAGAAUGUUUUAAUAAGUAGGAUUAUAAGUUUUUAUCUUUUUUAGUGUAUUAUAACUAUUUAAAAUUUAAAUAAGAUUUAUAUAUAUAUAUAAAUUUGUAUAAUUUAUUAGAAUAUAAAUUUUAAUGUAAAAAAUUUAGUAAUAAUGAUAGAAUUAGUAUAAAUUUUUGUUUAAGUUUUAUAGAAAUUAGAGGUUAGAUAAAGUAACUCGGCAAAUAUAUUUUUCACCUGUUUAUUAAAAACAUGGCUUUUUGAUAAUAAUUUAAGGUCUGGCCUGCCCAAUGAUAAAAUAGAUUAAAUGGCCGCGGUAUUUUGACCGUGCAAAGGUAGCAUAAUAAUUAGUUUUUUAAUUGAAAGCUUGUAUGAAAGGUUGGAUGAGAAAAUAGCUGUCUCUAUUUAAAUUUAUUAGAAUUUUAUUUUUAAGUAAAAAAGCUUAAAUUUAUAUAAAAGACGAGAAGACCCUAUAGAGUUUUAUAUUAUUUUUAUAUAAAGUUUUAAGAAUUAUAAUAUUUAUAUAUGAAUAGUAUUUGGUUGGGGUGAUUGAAAAAUUUAAUUAACUUUUUUUAAAUAGUUACAUUUAUUUAUGAAUAAUUGAUCCUUAUAUAGAGAUUAAAAGAUAAAAUUACCUUAGGGAUAACAGCGUAAUUUUUUUUGAGAGUUCUAAUCGAAAAGAGAGAUUGCGACCUCGAUGUUGGAUUAAAAUUUAUUUUUGGUGUAGAAGCUAAAAAAUUAGGUCUGUUCGACCUUUAAAAUUUUACAUGAUCUGAGUUUAGACCGGCGUGAGCCAGGUUGGUUUCUAUCUUUAUAAAGUUAAAAUAUUUUAGUACGAAAGGACCAAAUAUUUAAUUGAUAAUUUAUUUAGAGAAUU
rnacentral:rRNA from 1 species